UUGACUGUAAUCAUGUCAUGCAGAAG
rnacentral:piRNA from 1 species